rnacentral:rRNA from 1 species
UACGGAGGGGGCAAGCGUUGUCCGGAAUCACUGGGCGUAAAGGGUGCAUAGGCGGGUCUUUAAGUCAGGGGGGAAAUCCUGGAGCUCAACUCCAGAACUGCCUUUGAUACUGAGGAUCUUGAGUCCGGGAGAGGUGAGUGGAACUGCGAGUGUAGAGGUGAAAUUCGUAGAUAUUCGCAAGAACACCAGUGGCGAAGGCGGCUCACUGGCCCGGUACUGACGCUGAGGCACGAAAGCGUGGGGAGCGAACAGG